GGUCAACCACCCCUAGGGAGGAAAAUAACAUACACGUUUUACCUGUCAGGUCAACCACCCCUAGGGGGGAAAUAACAUACACGUUUUACCUGUCAGGUCAACCACCCCUAGGGAGGAAAUAACAUACACGUUUUACCUGUCAGGUCAACCACCCCUAGGGGGGAAAUAACAUACACGUUUUACCUGUCAGGUCAACCACCCCUAGGGGGGAAAUAACAUACACGUUUUAC